rnacentral:rRNA from 1 species
GAUGAACGCUGGCGGCGUGCCUAAUACAUGCAAGUCGAGCGAAUGGAUUAAGAGCUUGCUCUUAUGAAGUUAGCGGCGGACGGGUGAGUAACACGUGGGUAACCUGCCCAGAAGACUGGGAUAACUCCGAGAAACCGGGGCCAAUACCGGAUAACAUUUUGAACCGCAUGGCUCGGAAUUCAAAGUCGGCUUCGGCUGUCACUUAUGGAUGGACCCGCGUCGCAUUAGCUAGUUGGUGAGGUAACGGCUCACCAAGGCAACGAGGCGUAGCCGACCUGAGAGGGUGAUCGGCCACACUGGGACUGAGACACGGCCCAGACUCCUACGGGAGGCAGCAGUAGGGAAUCUUCCGCAAUGGACGAAAGUCUGACGGAGCAACGCCGCGUGAGUGAUGAAGGCUUUCGGGUCGUAAAACUCUGUUGUUAGGGAAGAACAAGUGCUAGUUGAAUAAGCUGGCACCUUGACGGUACCUAACCAGAAAGCCACGGCUAACUACGUGCCAGCAGCCGCGGUAA